rnacentral:lncRNA from 1 species
CACACGUAAUAUGCACAUAGAUUGUUCCCCCCUUCUUGUCUUAAACACCACUAUACAAUAUAUAUAUAUAUAUAAAAUAUUCACGACCACGACAAUAAUAAGGCUAAAAGUUAGCGAAAGUUUGCUAACUAGUAGAACUUACUUGUGGAUGUAUUAUGUUAAGCGGCGCUUUACAUCCACUGAGAUGUUCACGGUCAAUGAAUCUUUCCCAAACCCUACACACAGCCAUUGUGGAUCGUGAACUAAUAAUUACAGAGUCAUAUUAUAAUAUUCUUCUAGCUGAGAUCGACAUUACGUACCUUUGAAUAAUGUUUACCAUUUGUUGAUAAUUUUCUUGUGGUUUUCUCAUGGAGUCAAAGAUUAUCAACCGGUUCUUAGGAAUUUCAAUGACCAUGAGUAUCCAGUGAAAGCUGUUUACACAUAUAUAUAUAUAGUCAGUCCUAUAAUGUAAAAUAAAAUAUGCAUGUACUUAAUAACUAUAUAACUCACUCAAAGUUAAAGGGGAAGAGUAUUUUUUGUUUUUCUUUUUGGUUCACAAAGAACCUCAUAAGAUUGGUGCAGAUUUCUGUCUCAUGAGCUGCUGUCCACACUGCCUGUGGAGCCUUGAAAACAAUAUAAGGGUCAACGAACCCAAUACUAUUGUCAUUUCUCAUUCUGAGCUCUCUCAUUUGGUGCCUGCAUAUAUACAUACAAAUCCUAAGUGUGUAAGGAUUAUAUACAUGUAAUUAAAGAAGUUAGAAGUAUAAUAAAAAGAAAAAAAUACUUACAGUCAAAAGCAGCUGACAAGAGAUUUGCCG